UCUCACUGCCCAACAGCUUUGAGGGGUGCUGAGGUCAGAGGAGCCUGCCCUCAGGGAGGCCUCCACCGCCCGCCCCCCUCCGCCCCGCCCCGCCAUCAUCCUGGCCACUCCCCUUGGGGCCCGGUGCAGCUCACAGAGAGGGAGGUGGCCACACGCCUGACCUCCACGGGGCACCGAAGGUGAUGAUGCUGCUGACAGUCCCUCGUGGGACUUCUUUACACCCUCACCACCUCUCCUCCCCCUCCUCACAGGAAGACGCCCGGAGGAGCUGAGUGCAGAGUACCCCGCUGGUGAGCGCGGAUGCUCCGAGACUGAGACCCCACAACUCCAUAGUGUCUCCUGGGGAACCGCACGGUGCGCAGGGUGUGUAUGGCUGGGGAAGCGACCAAGGGCUGUGGAACCCUCGCCGCGCCAAUUCAGCACUGCCCGACCUCACAGGACGCGACCGCCAGGACCCACAGGGACCGCCGUCCCCACCACCGCCCCACUCACCCAGGCCGCCAUCUGCAGCUCUCCGCCGAGGGUGACCGGAGUAGGAGUAAUAGUGGGACCCGCCUUUGACGACCGAGGGCGACAGCGGCCCCGGGCUGCUGAGGGCCAGCUCGCUGGGCAGGAAGCUGGCCUGAGGGAGGGGGAGGGUUAGCAGCCGGUCCCCUGCCCAGCCCCCAGGCCAUUCUGGUUUAAAACAACAAAGGCAAGAGCAAGGGCCCAGGCCAAUGGCAGGGUCCUGGGGUGACAGUGACCUGGGGCAUAGGUCCCUCCCUGCUGACACCACUGGCGUUUCUCUUAUCUAAGAUACCACCGAUUCAUUUUCAUGAAGGAAAAAGAUGAGAGAAACACCGUCAAGCCUGAAGAUGUGUUGCUGUCUGGGCGCUAAACGGGCACAACUAUGCUUCAGGUGUCAAGGGAAUCUGUGUGUUUUACUUCGUACGUAUCCCCCCCCCCUUUUUUUUAAGGUAAACGGUUUAAUCUCGCAGACAUGCGUUUGAAAUAGACUCUGUUCCCAGGAAAGCAACAAUGACGGGGGUUCGAGGCGCAGUGCUGCAGCCUUGGCUCUCCUGUCUGUGCAAUGGGCAUGUCAGACGUUCCACGGCUCAGGGGCGUCGUGGGGACAGAUGGGGCCAUGCACGUUCUGCCCCUGGCCGAUGACCUGGGGCCCCACGGGCAUUCAGUGGCUGUGACCUGGCUGAGGCCCAGUGUGCACCCAGGCGGUGCUGCCUGCAGCAGGGCCUAGCUGCACCCUGAGGUUCCAGGACUGCAGGCAGGGAAUAAAGCCCUCGGGCGUGGGGCGGGAGAGAGACCAGGUGGGGCAGGACAGGAGGCCACAAGGGACCACUGUGCCAGGCAACUGGCCCGUCAGCAUCCCAGUGGGGUGGCCAAGGGUGACAAUCUCGCCCAGGCCGGGGACUGUGCCGAGGUUGGACCACAAGGCUGGGAGCACGGAGCGAGGGUCAGGCCUCGUCUACCUGGCUGGCCUCGGUUUCCCUGUCUGCCACUUGGGGGCAGGCGGGCGGGCAGGUGUCUCCUGGAACCCCUUCAGCUGUGCACAGGGCCCCACAGGCUGGACCCCAGCCUCCCCUUUCCCCAUCGACAACCCACCCGGCCUGACCCAGGGACCGGGCCCGUUUCAGCGGCUGCUGGAGAGUGACCAGCACUUGGCUGAGCCUUCCCAGAUCAGGAGGCAAUUUGGGACGAAUUCGUUUCAAAUUAAAACUAGGGAAUACAAGGUGGGGUGAGAAGUCAAGCGGUGACUGUGGCCCCCACUGGGAACCUCCCAUCCCUAACCACCUGGAGACGGGGGCUCUCCAGGCUCCAAGGGCCACUGGGGGCCGACGGGACCCACGCCCUCCCCUGCCCACCCUGCAGACGCAGCAUCACCUGAGUCAGGCUGCCGACCCCUGCGUCUCUCCCAAAGGGGGUGUACACGCCCCGCUCGCCGCCCUUGCCUGUGGAAGAGGAAGGAGGGUCACCCGGAGCUGACCCAGAGGCCGGCACACGCCCGCAUACAGCAGGCUCUCCACAAGUUCACGACACUGAAAACCGUGGUGGCACACUGGUCUCCCCAUCAAGUGGCGAGGGGCUGAGGGACAAGUGGGGCUCCAGCCAGACGCUAUCCCCAGAUGACCCGCAGAGGAUUCUGCAAACCCGCCAGGGCCCCCCCGUACCCCAUCCCCAGAGCGGGACAGCACCGACUCGGCUCCCCACCCCUGCCCUUCUCGAGCUUUGGUUUCCUCUGUUCAAGGUCAUGAGGUGUCAACUCCCCAGGGUGCUGGGUUCCCAGGGGACAGGUCGAGGUCCCUGGUAUCUUGCAAGUUUCAGCACCCAGGCCCUGGGCUCCUUCCCCAGCUCCUGGACAGGGUCAGCUCACGAACAAGCAUGUGGCAUCGCUGGGGAUGCUGAUUCAAGCCACUCAGUGCGAAGGAGCCCUUCCUCUGUGUGGGUGGGCAAGACCGAGCUGUGGGGGGACAGCCUGCCCGAGAGAGCAGCUGGUAUGAACAGACUCCUGCAGCUACACAAACACCUGGAUCCAGCCUCGCCUGAAGCAGGUCCCUGGAUCCAUCAGUACCUGAAUAAUUUCAGUUUGUUUCUGGCUUCAGCUGGGCACCUGUCCUGACUGAGGGCGGACCUUAACCAGCCUUACCGUGAGCAAGAAAUCAGAAUGCUUGACUAAUUUGGUUUAUUCUCAAACUGGGCAGGGGGUGUGGGGGAAUUCUCCCCUUUAUCCAUUUAUUUUUUGAAUAUUUUUACUCAUUUUUUGGCCACGCUGCGCAGCUUGUGGGACCUCAGUUCCUCGACCAGGGAUCAAACCUGUGCCCCUCGGCUGUGAAAGUGCUGAGUCCUAACCACUGGACCACCAGGAAAUUCCCUCUCCCCUUGAUUUUAAAAGGACAAUUUCAAGUGGACUCUUGGAGCAAAUGCUGUUUAGGGGACAGGGAGAAGGACCACGCUCCUACCAACACAGCAGAUGCCCCACAGGCCACGCCCACCAGCUCAAGCUCAGGGCAGGCGACACGGGGCCCAUUUAGGGAUGAACAAACCACAGCUUGGAGGCCAGAGGGACUCGCCCCCAGUCCAGAGGGUGCGCUCCUCCCUCCCUUCCCAGGGUGGACGUGGGAAGCAAAGCUGGCCAGCCCAGCCAGGGCUCUGGGCUCCCCACUGCAGGGUGGGGCUGCUGUGGUUUGACCCUGCGUACAGCAGGCACCAAGCAGGGGCAUCCUGAAAGGAAGGCUGAGGGAGGCAAGGAGAGAAAACAGAGGUUCUGGGAGGGGACCUGCGAGAUCCACGAGCCCUGUGGGUAUACAGCGGGUGCCCAAGCCAUGCACCGGGCCCGGGCAUCAGAGUAUGAGAGGGGGAAGAAGGACAGACACCAAGAGCAGACCCACCAGGUCUCAUCGAGGAGCUGGACCAGGUUGGGGGCCCCACGGGAACAGAGCGACCCUCGCCCCCUGGGCCUGGCACUCACCGCCCGCUGCCCCACCAUGGCUAUCGCCAGCCCCAGUCCACAGGCAAGAAAACCAGGGCCCAGGGAGGCCGAAACUGCGCCCACCUCCCCACUGUCUCGCUGGGCCUGGCCUGGGCUCCCUGCUGCACUCUCUGAGCUCCUCGGCCACUGGGGCGUGUGGCGGGUGUGUGGCACAGCUGGGCUCUGGGCCCUGCUGACCAGGCCCGGCCGUGGGAACUGCCCGUGCCAGGAAGAAGCCGGAGGAAGGAACAGCAGAGGGGAACCGGUGUCGUGGCAGGUGCAGAGGCCACCCGGCCAGCCCUCACAUCCCGGUCUGGGAGAUGCACACAGACUCCCGCUAGACACAGUGGGUGCCGGACACUGUGCUCCCCCUUCCUGCCUGGGACUGCACCCAGGCCACGCUCGCCCGUCUGGCUCCUUCCAUGCGCCAGUCCACAAGGGCUGGACCCCAGGCCCUCCGGCCUUGGCUGCCCCACUGGUUGGUUGGGCCCGGCAACGAGAGUUCACCCACCUCCCCCAGCAGCCACCAACCCUGCCGCCAUGCACCUCGGCCUGGGAACCGCUGGGGACGGUGCCAAAGGAGCCUACCUCACCCGGCUGUCAUGUGCAAGGACCUCGUGUCUCAGGAGCACCAGGAGUGCGCAGCCCAGGCCCUGAGGCGGGAGCUGACUCACCCCCCGGCCCCUUUCAACCUCCAGAGAUGCCAGCUUGGCAGUCACCCCGACACUCCCUCAGAACAGGGAGGGCCCAGGCUCAGCAGGGCCAGCGCUCGGACACCCAACCAGGGCCUGAGGGUCCCAGAGGCCGGGUCCCUUCUCGCUGAGCCUCAGUCUGCUCAUCUGCGAGAUGGGGGUGGGCCUUCGGGCCUAGGGAGCCAGGUGAGUCCUUACCACUGGCUACGCAGAAGGCUCUGAGAAUCCCCAUCCCCGCAGGUCGGGAAACUGGGGCUAGAGAGGGGACCCUCACCCAGGUCCCGAUGCUGAUUCUCACGGUCAGGAUGCCGGUGCUCUGGGGAGAGCAGGCGAGGGGGCCGGCCUCAGACUCGGCCUCCCCAGGUUGUCAGGACUCCGGAGUCCACUUCCCGGCAGGCACCUGGCUGGUCCCCACCUGUGUCCUCUGCUCUGGGCGGCCAUCCCGGAAGCCCUGGUGCUCAAGGACCGAGCGGGCACGGGGGUGGGGGCAGGGACCACGUGGACACUCACCUCCGAGCCCAGGUCCCAGGAAUGUGGACGAAGCGAGGGUGCCGUGGGACUCACUGAAGUGGGCGCCAUCACCGUAGGUCUGUAGAGGGGACGGGCAGGGAUGAGGGAGGCUCAGGGACGCCUCUGGGUCAGGAUGUGACCGCGCCACAGAGCCCAAAGCACCUGCAGGCCAGGCCGGGGUUCUCCUCGCGCUCGCCCACCCCCACCCCAGGGUCUCAGGCCUCCAGGGGCUCCUCACCCGGCUGGGGUCGAAGGAGGAACUGUUCUGCUCGCCGGUGCCCCACGAGCCCGAACUGGGCCGGUCCUCGAGACCUGUAGGGCAGGAAGGCAGGGUUAGGGGCCCGGCCCCUGGCCGCUCCACACCAGCCGCAUCGCCUCGGGGAGCCCUCACUCGACCUGGGAAGCUUUCCAGGCCCCUCCCGACCCAGCCUGGAGCUGGAGCCCGUCCAGAUGCACCCACCCUAGCACUACCCAUGGUGACACCACUGCCAGCGGCAAGCACCCCGGACACACCGGCACUAAGCAGAUCUCUGGGUCCACGGCCCAAGAAACAAUUCCACCACCAGCUGCUGGCAAACUUGCCAUUGCUGCUGGCACACUUCUACCCACCCGUGCAGCUCCCAGCCCACCCUGGACGGAGCCCUCACUUGCACUCUGGGCUUCCCUCCCCAGGCCCAAGUCCCUCCCUCUGGCCCAGGCUCAUGAAGGCGUCAGGGAAUGGGAAUGAAGGAUAUCUCUCAUCUCGAGAGUGGGAGCCUCCCCCUUCCCAUCUCUGGCAAUUCGAGAGGCGGGGCUGUCCCUUUGUUGAAGUAACAGCGGCAGCUGCCGCGGACUACCCGCCAGGCACAGGCUGGCGGCAGGGAAGGAGAAAUCCAAUCCGGGAAGGUCUGCUGACCCAGGCACGGAGAAGAUUCCAGGAGCAAGUCCCUCCGUAUGAAGUAGCCAGACUACCAGACUUCAGCACCUGGAGUGUGGAGAAGACGUGGUCACAGGGCCUAGGCAUGGCCCUGCACCGUCCCCACCACAAACCUGUCACGUAGCCAUGGUCGUCAGGGGCUUCGUGCGGCAGCCCCAGCUCUGUCAGCACCCCCCCACCCGGGUGCCCGGGCUAAAUCCCAGGAGCCGUGCUCUCCCCUUCCCUCACUCCACUGCCCCCUACCCAUGGUCUCGGAUCAGAGCCUGGCUCGGCCUUGUGUCCCCUGGGUCAAGCCCCCAUCCGUACAGCAGUGUCCCCCCCACCCCAGGUUCCCUGCCCACACUCCACCCCAAGCAGCCUGAUGGGAGCUUCUGGAAGCAAAACCUGCCUCUCCUCCCUCCCUCUAGACUCUCCCAUGGCUCCCCACUGCUCUCAGGGUAAAGACUAGACCCCUCCCUGACCGCCCUUCGCCCCCAGCUCACUCCUCCCUGCCCAACAAGUGAGCAGAUCCCCAACCCCGACCCAAGCUCUGCCCCAGUGGUCCCCACACCUUCAUCGCCCGUCAGGGAGGUUGCCUUGCUGGCCCCCUGUCCCCAGCAUUGCCUGAACAGGGCUGGCCCCCAAACAACCUCGACAAGUAUCUGUUUUUGGCCUCUUCAUUGCUCUGAUAACUAUCCAACCAAUCACAAUGUCCUCCGGCAGUGCCAUCCUCCUGCGGUCACAGGCAGCUACCACGGGACUGGCGGAAAGAGCUCCCCACUCGACGAGAUGUUAAUUAACGCACGAGUAGAUGACCCUGUGUGGCUAAGCGGCUGCUGUGCUGGACGUGUGGCCCCCUAGGUAAAGACUAGAGUAGCAACGGCAAUAAAAAUAACCACCAUGCACCAUGAUCACAGCUGAGAAAAAAUUAACAGCACCUGAGGGCAGCCGUCUGCUGGUCCUCACGUAAGUGUUUCCUUCCCGCCACUAUCAGCUCCCCAAGGCCGUCAGCUCCCCCUCUGGCUUUUUCCCCUUAGAAUUAAAAUCCCCGAGAAACGGGAUGGUGGCCUGUUCAGCAGCACCUGGGGUCUCAUGAGGGGCAAGCCCAACACAGGUGUGAGUCAGGAGAAAGUCCUUCCUCAAGUGGGCCGGGGCCUCCCUGCACGGGCCAGUGGGGUCCUCACCUCUCUUCCUGUGAUGUUUGGGGCAACUUCUGAACUCUUACAUCACUUCAGACUUGAAGGAAAGCUGCGGGGAGAUGCACGACAUGCCCCAGACCCUCUCAUGCCUUACAUGCGCCCCCUUUUUCAUUCGCCCCUCCGUGUUCACAGGCAGCUACGCUUGUCUCUGGCCUUCAGAGUUUCAAAAGUUGCUAGGAAUUCCAGGGCGCCAGGGAGCUCCCGCCAGAGGGAGCAGGUUCCAAGUGGCUGGAGGAAAAGUGCCGGAGCGGCUCACAGCCCUUGCCGUUCCUGCCCCUGAAAGUGGGGGUGGGGAGACAGGGGACCUGGAGCUGCGCCCAAGCA